GAUGAACGCUGGCGGCGUGCCUAAUACAUGCAAGUCGAGCGAACGGACGAGAAGCUUGCUUCUCUGAUGUUAGCGGCGGACGGGUGAGUAACACGUGGAUAACCUACCUAUAAGACUGGGAUAACUUCGGGAAACCGUAGCUAAUACCGGAUAAUAUUUUGAACCGCAUGGUUCAAAAGUGAAAGACGGUCUUGCUGUCACUUAUAGAUGGAUCCGCGCUGCAUUAGCUAGUUGGUAAGGUAACGGCUUACCAAGGCAACGAUGCAUAGCCGACCUGAGAGGGUGGUCGGCCCCACUGGAACUGAGCCCCGGUCCAGGCUCCUGAGGGAAGGCGCAGUAGGGGAACUUCCGGAAAGGGGGGAAACCUUGCCGAACAAACGCGCGGGGGUUGAUGAAGUCCUCCGGUCGGUAAAACCUGGUUAUUGGGGAAAACCAAUUUUGAAAGUACCGGGGCCCACCUGACGGUACCUAAUCAGAAAGCCACGGCUAACUACGUG
rnacentral:rRNA from 1 species